rnacentral:rRNA from 1 species
UACGUAGGGUGCGAGCGUUAAUCGGAUCUACUGGGCGUAAAGCGUGCGCAGGCGGCCCGUUAAGACAGGUGUGAAAUCCCUGGGCUCAACCUAGGAAUUGCGCUUGUGACUGGCGGGCUCGAGUACGGUAGAGGGGGGUGGAAUUCCUGGUGUAGCAGUGAAAUGCGUAGAGAUCAGGAGGAACACCGAUGGCGAAGGCAGCCCCCUGGGCCUGUACUGACGCUCAUGCACGAAAGCGUGGGGAGCAAACAGG